UGACUGCGUGACUGACUGACUGCGUGAGGGACUGACUGCGUGAGGGACUGACUGCGUGAGGGACUGACUGCGUGAGGGACUGACUGACUGCCUGACUGACUGACUGACUGCGUGAGGGACUGACUGCCGGUAGGGGGUUUCAUGGUCUGUGAUGUCACAGAGCAGGUUAAAUUAACUACU